rnacentral:rRNA from 1 species
GGGAAGAGCCCAAACCAACAAGCUUGCUUGUUGGGGUUGUAGGACUCCAAUAUGGUAGUCUGUUAGUAUAGUUGAAGGAUUUGGAAAAUUCCGCUAAAGAGGGUGAAAGCCCCGUAGACGAAAUGCUGACAACACCUAGGAGGAUCCUGAGUACGGCGGAACACGAGAAAUUCCGUCGGAAUCCGCGGGGACCAUCCCGCAAGGCUAAAUACUCCCUAGUGACCGAUAGUGAACCAGUACCGUGAGGGAAAGGUGA